rnacentral:rRNA from 1 species
GACGAACGCUGGCGGCGUGCCUAAUACAUGCAAGUCGAGCGGACUUUCAAGAAGCUUGCUUUUUGAAAGUUAGCGGCGGACGGGUGAGUAACACGUGUGCAACCUGCCUGCAAGACGGGGAUAACUCCGGGAAACCGGGGCUAAUACCGGAUAAUAUCUUCCUUCGCAGGAAGGAAGGGUGAAAGGCGGCGCAAGCUGCCGCUUGCAGAUGGGCCCGCGGCGUAUGGGCUAGUUGGGGAGGGAACGGCUCUCCAAGGCGACGAUGCGGAGCCGCCCUGCGAGGGUGAUCGGCCACACUGGGACUGAGACCCGGCCCAGACUCCUACGGGAGGCAGCAGUAGGGCAUCUUCCGCCAUGGACGGAAGUCUGACCGAGCAACGCCGCGUGAGCGAAGAAGGUCUUCGGAUCGUAAAGCUCUGUUGUCAGGGAAGAACAAGUACCGUUCGAACAGGGAGGUACAUUGACGGUACCUGACCAGAAAGCCACGGCUAACUACGUG